rnacentral:rRNA from 1 species
GAGUUUGAUCCUGGCUCAGGAUGAACGCUAGCGGCAGGCCUAACACAUGCAAGUCGAACGGUAACAGAGAAGAGCUUGCUCUUUUGCUGACGAGUGGCGCACGGGUGCGUAACGCGUAUACAAUCUACCUUUUACAGAGGAAUAGCCUUUAGAAAUGAAGAAUAAUACCUCAUAGUAUCUAGAUAUCGCAUGGUAUUUAGAUUAAAAUUUCGGUGGUAAAAGAUGAGUAUGCGUUCUAUUAGCUAGAUGGUGUGGUAACGGCACACCAUGGCAACGAUAGAUAGGGGCCCUGAGAGGGGGAUCCCCCACACUGGUACUGAGACACGGACCAGACUCCUACGGGAGGCAGCAGUGAGGAAUAUUGGACAAUGGGCGAGAGCCUGAUCCAGCCAUGCCGCGUGCAGGAAGACUGCCCUAUGGGUUGUAAACUGCUUUUAUAUAGGAAGAAACCUUUCCACGUGUGGAAAGCUGACGGUACUAUAAGAAUAAGGAUCGGCUAACUCCGUGCCAGCAGCCGCGGUAAUACGGAGGAUCCAAGCGUUAUCCGGAAUCAUUGGGUUUAAAGGGUCCGUAGGUGGAUAAUUAAGUCAGGGGUGAAAGUCUGCAGCUCAACUGUAGAAUUGCCUUUGAUACUGGUUAUCUUGAAUUAUUGUGAAGUGGUUAGAAUAUGUAGUGUAGCGGUGAAAUGCAUANAUAU